rnacentral:rRNA from 1 species
AGAGUUUGAUCAUGGCUCGGAACAAACGCUGGCCGCGUGUCUUAGCCAUGCCAGUCUAGCGGCAAGGUCCGCCUUGCCCCUAGAGCGGCGGACUGGUGAGUAACACCUGGGUGAUCUACCUUUGGAAUGGGGAUAGCCCUUAGAAAUACUGGGUAAUACCGAAUACAUUCGGCACCGUGAGGGUGCUGAGGAAAGGUGCUACGGAACCGGUCGGAUAUGACCCUGCUUCCGAUUAUCUAGUUGGUGAGGUAAAGGCCCACCACGGCUAUGAUCGGUAUGCGGCCUGAGAGGGUGUAUUCCCACAUUGGGACUGAUAUACGGCCCAAACUCCUACGGGAGGCAACAACUAAGAAUAUUCCGCAAUGGACGAAAGUCUGACGGAGCGACGCCGCGUGGAUGAUGAAGGCCGAAAGGUUGUAAAGUCCUUUUGCUGGGGAAGAAUAAGUCUGGGAGGGAAUGCCCGGAUGAUGACAUGAACCGGCGAAUAAGCCCCGGCUAACUACGUGCCAGCAGCCGCGGUAACACGUAGGGGGCAAGCGUUGUUCGGAAUUACUGGGCGUAAAGGGCAUGUAGGCGGCUUUGUAAGCUUGGCGUGAAAUUCCACGGCUUAACCGUGGGAAUGCGUUUGAGAACUGCGAGGCUUGAGUUAUGCAGAGGGAGCUAGAAUUCCUGGUGUAGGCGUGGAAUCUGUAGAGAUCAGAGAACAAUACCAACGGCCAAUGCAAGCUCCUGGCCAAUACCUGACGCUGAGGUGCGAAAGUGUGGGGAUCAAACAGGAUUAGAUACCCUGGUAGUCCACACUGUAAACGAUGUACACUAGGUGCUGGGGCGGAUGCUUCAGUGCUGUAGCUAACGUGAUAAGUGUACCGCCUGGGGAGUAUGCUCGCAAGGGUGAAACUCAAAGGAAUUGACGGGGGCCCGCACAAGCGGUGGAGCAUGUGGUUUAAUUCGAUGGUACGCGAGGAACCUUACCUGGGUUUGACAUACAGUGUGAUAGGUCAGAGAUGAUCUAGCGUACCAAUCCGACGCUGUACAGGUGCUGCAUGGCUGUCGUCAGCUCGUGCCGUGAGGUGUUCGGUUAAGUCCCGCAACGAGCGCAACCCCUACUGCCAGUUAGUAACAGGUUAAGCUGAGGACUCUGGCGGAACUGCCGGUGACAAACCGGAGGAAGGUGGGGAUGACGUCAAGUCAUCAUGGCCCUUAUGUCCAGGGCUACACACGUGCUACAAUGGGUGAGACAGAGUGACGUGAAGCCGCGAGGUGGAGCAAAUCGCAGAAAAUCAUCCGUAGUUCGGACUGGAGUCUGAAACCCGACUCCAGCAAGGUGGAAUCGCUAGUAAUCGCGCCUCAGUUUGGCGCGGUGACCACGUUCCCGUGCGUGCCACACUCCAACUGU